rnacentral:rRNA from 1 species
CUUUCCCGGAGCUUGCUCCACCGAAAGAAAAAGAGUGGCGAACGGGUGAGUAACACGUGGGUAACCUGCCCAUCAGAAGGGGAUAACACUUGGAAACAGGUGCUAAUACCGUAUAACACUAUUUUCCGCAUGGAAGAAAGUUGAAAGGCGCUUUUGCGUCACUGAUGGAUGGACCCGCGGUGCAUUAGCUAGUUGGUGAGGUAACGGCUCACCAAGGCAACGAUGCAUAGCCGACCUGAGAGGGUGAUCGGCCACACUGGGACUGAGACACGGCCCAGACUCCUACGGGAGGCAGCAGUAGGGAAUCUUCGGCAAUGGACGAAAGUCUGACCGAGCAACGCCGCGUGAGUGAAGAAGGUUUUCGGAUCGUAAAACUCUGUUGUUAGAGAAGAACAAGGAUGAGAGUAAAAUGUUCAUCCCUUGACGGUAUCUAACCAGAAAGCCACGGCUAACUACGUGCCAGCAGCCGCGGUAAUACGUAGGUGGCAAGCGUUGUCCGGAUUUAUUGGGCGUAAAGCGAGCGCAGGCGGUUUCUUAAGUCUGAUGUGAAAGCCCCCGGCUCAACCGGGGAGGGUCAUUGGAAACUGGGAGACUUGAGUGCAGAAGAGGAGAGUGG